UCUUUUAUCCACAAAAAGCUAUCAUAUGAAUUGAAAUGUAGUAGGUAGGCCUACUUAUAUGGAUUAGUUUUUUGUGACAUUUGGAGCUUGUCAGUUACAAUUAUCACCCUCCCAAUCCUUAUCCUUGAGGUUCAAUGAGAAAAACGUCAAAUGAAGGUUUAGCAAAUACAUGUUACACACAGCACAACAGAUCCCAUAAAUCUGUCAAAUGAUACCUAAAAAAGAUGUGCAUGCUCUACAGAUCUUAUGUGUGGUUUUGAGAUCCAUCCAGUUCACACCA